GACGAACGCUGGCGGCGUGCUUAACACAUGCAAGUCGAACGGAAAGGCCCUGCUUUUGUGGGGUGCUCGAGUGGCGAACGGGUGAGUAACACGUGAGUAACCUGCCCUUGACUUUGGGAUAACUUCAGGAAACUGGGGCUAAUACCGGAUAGGAGCUCCUGCUGCAUGGUGGGGGUUGGAAAGUUUCGGUUGUUGGGGAUGGGCUCGCGGCUUAUCAGCUUGUUGGUGGGGUAGUGGCUUACCAAGGCUUUGACGGGUAGCCGGCCUGAGAGGGUGACCGGCGACAUUGGGACUGAGGUACGGACCAGAGUGCUACGGGAGGCAGCAGUGGGGAAUAUUGCACAAUGGGCGGGAGCCUGAUGCGGCAACGCUGCGUGCGGGAUGACGGCCUUCGUGUUGUAAACCGCUUUCGCCUGUGACGAAGCGUGAGUGACGGUAAUGGGUAAAGAAGCACCGGCUAACUACGUG
rnacentral:rRNA from 1 species